rnacentral:RNase_P_RNA from 1 species
CCGGCAGGCUAUUCUAUCGCGUCUUAUUUUUGAGCCGAGGAAAGUCGGGACAACACAGGGCGCCAUACUUCCUAACGGGAAGGUCCUGGAGAAAUUCAGGAACAGCAAGUGCCGCAGAAAAUAACCGCCCCUACGGGGUAAGGGUGAAAACGUGGGGUAAGAGCCCACGCUGUACCGUGGUAACAGGGUAGAGGGGUAAACCUUAUGGGUUGCAAGAUCAAAUAUGCCGGCGAUUGAGGGCUGCCCGCCCGAUGCCGGUGGGUAGAUUGCUAGAGCUGCACAGCGAUGUGUAGCCGAGAUAAAUGAUAGAACCAGACAGAAUCCCGCUUAUCGGCCUGCCGGAAUU